CAAAUUUGGCAAUCCAAGUCUUAUUAAACCGGCCAAUCCAUGUAUGCCACGUAGGCGAGCACAUGGAUUGUGCUUCUUUAGAUUCAAUCUCAGCCUUACAAUCUAAUCUAAUGGCCUUAAUUUAAUUCAUCCUUUUACUAUUAUAUAUAUAUAUAUGUAUUAUUUAUUAUUUAUUAUUUUAUUUUUUUAACUCUUUAUUUUUACCAACCGUCCGAUCAAAUGAUCGGACGGCCCAAAUUAAAUCCCAAAGUUGUCAUCCGUCCCAAAAAAUAGUACAAGCUUUUCCUUUUCCAAGACAUGGCCCCUUUCCCAGAACAUCAUAUCCCAUACGACUUCUCCUCCUUCCCAUCGAUCCCUCUCUCCUCUGCCAUUGUUUCCGCCUACAGACCACCGGAAAAUGGCAAUUUCCGGUGGUCAUCAAUAUAUCUCCCCACACCGUCCAUCAAUCCUCAACCUCCUCCUAUAAACUUUAAGUCCCCUCCAUCACUUUUCUCUACCACGACCGUCAAUAAUCCCACCUUUUUCCUUAUUUUUACAUCGAAAAGAAAACCCAAGAACAGAUCUCAAGUCUGAGAAGCCGAAAGGGUGAUCUUUUCAAAGAUUUCACUCGUUCCUUGCUUUACACUAUGGAUUUUGAUAAUUUUGAGUUUCAAAUCCGGAUUUUUGGAAGUCCGAAUUUUGCCUAUAUAAGAGGUGUUUUGCCUCAUUCGAAAGGGAGGGGGAUGAACAUCCAAAGGUAAUCCAC
rnacentral:lncRNA from 1 species